GAUGGGAUAUUCAACAUGGCUCACAACGAUUGUUCAGAAUCUAUGAUGAAUUAACCAGGUAUUUUGUGGGCUCGGUUGAUUCCUUAACCAGUCAAUAUUUGUCGCCUGAUGUGUUUGUAGCAGCCAACACGCUUCCCUUCCACUUCCCCAGGCUGCAAUAGAAGAUUAAUCCAUCAAGGAGGAGCAGCUUUGAAGCGCCUUGGCCUACCCUACUUGUUGUUCACUGGUGUGCUC